UUGUCUCAAAGAUUAAGCCAUGCAUGUCUAAGUAUAAGCAAUCUAUACGGUGAAACUGCGAAUGGCUCAUUAAAUCAGUUAUCGUUUAUUUGAUAGUACCUUACUACUUGGAUAACCGUGGUAAUUCUAGAGCUAAUACAUGCUAAAAACCCCGACUUCGGAAGGGGUGUAUUUAUUAGAUAAAAAACCAAUGCCCUUCGGGGCUCCUUGGUGAUUCAUAAUAACUUAACGAAUCGCAUGGCCUUGUGCCGGCGAUGGUUCAUUCAAAUUUCUGCCCUAUCAACUUUCGAUUGUAAGGUAGUGGCUUACAAUGGUUUCAACGGGUAACGGGGAAUUAGGGUUCUAUUCCGGAGAGGGAGCCUGAGAAACGGCUACCACAUCCAAGGAAGGCAGCAGGCGCGCAAAUUACCCAAUCCCGACACGGGGAGGUAGUGACAAUAAAUACUGAUACAGGGCUCUUUUGGGUCUUGUAAUUGGAAUGAGUACAAUUUAAAUCCCUUAACGAGGAACAAUU
rnacentral:rRNA from 1 species